UUUUGGCAGUGAUGAUAUAAAUCCAGCUUUAAUGCCAGUUCUGCUUCUGAUUUUCCAUGAUCGAUAGAGCUGUUAUAUUUCUCUGAGCCUUUA